rnacentral:lncRNA from 1 species
UUUUUUUUUUUUUUUUUUUUUACAAUUACUGAGCUGUUGGUUAAGAUCCAGAGGAGGGAAAUAGUUAGAGCAACAGAGCUGCAGCUCUGCACAAGUGUCAGUCAGAUUCAGUCCCUUGGCUUCCUGAACAAGAAAUGAUUGAUGUUGAAAAUUGGAAAUGCAGCCAGGUGGUGGUGACGGUCUAUAGACAGGACUACCAGGCCUAAAUAAACAGGGUCAACUGGACCCCUAAGAAAGAUGAGAUAAAAUGCGUGCCGAUUAUUUUGCUAGGUGAAGUUCACGUAUUGUCCUGUGUGGCGCGCAGUCUCUCUCGGGAGGGAGGAUCAUUAAAGAAGGUUUUGUUUUCUCUGUAGGUUGCCGUGGACUCCGCUGCUGGCGCUCCGCAGAAGCCACCUGGAGGAUGACCAGCCAGGAUUGUUCAGGGCUUUCAUUGUCUUGGUCACAUUGCUUCAUUGUCUUUGUCUGUCCAACCGUCUGUCUAAUCAGCCUUAGCAAAAUAAGCUAUUUUAUCUUGUCCUUUCGAUUAAAAAAAACAACAAAAGACAGACUUCAAGCCGUUUUGGCACCCAGAGACCAAACCCCACCCAGAGUCUUUGUUUUUAUGAUUACUAAAACUUCAUGUCUUAAAUUUAUAUCUUUGUAAAACAGAAAAAAAUUUAAAUAGCAAUGUGAUCAAACUUGGAUUUUAAAAAAAAUAGGGGCAAAUUGGAACCAAGAAGGAAUAUUUCUUAUGGAUAAUACGGUGGCCAAGGACUGAAAAACAGAAGUGUAGUCGAUAGGAGUUAGAUUACUUGAAAGUUUCCACCUAAGAUUUUUUUGGUACAGCCUGAGAAUAGGUGGGAUGUAGUAAGGAAUAGAACGGUCCAGAAAGUUCUUCUUCCAUGGAAAUGUUAUUCUUCGAUACUGUUCACAUGUUUGUUUUGUUUGCAGUGUCAACCGGACAUGUUCUUUCACACUCUCGUGGGACAACCCAGUUGUUUCCCACUUCGGGAUGUUCUGUGAUGGUUCCUCAGGUACUUUGUAAUCUCCUGUUAACCUGAUAGGAGAGUCUUCUUUCUUUCUUUCUUUCUUUCUUUCUUUCUUUCUUUCUUUCUUUCUUUCUUUCUUUCUUUCUUUCUUUCUUUCUUUCCUUCCUUCCUUCCUUCCUUCCUUCUUUCCUUCUUUCCUUCUUUCCUUCUUCUUCUUCCUCUUCCUCUUCUUCCUCUUCUUCCUCUUCUUCCUCUUCCUCUUCUUCUUCUUCCUUCUCCUUCUCUUACUCCUCCUCCUUCUCCUCCUCCUCCUUCUUCUCCUUCUCCUCCUCCUUCUAUUCCUCCUUCUCCUCUUCCUCCUCCUCCUUCUCCUCCUCCUCCUCCUUCUCCUUCUUUUUAAAGAUUUAUUUGUUAUUAUGUGUAAGUACACUGUAGCUGUCUUCAGACACUCCAGGAGAGGUUAUCAGAUCUUAUUACAGAUGGUUGUGGGCCACCAUAUGGUUGCUAGGAAUUAACUCAGGACCUCUGGAAGGGCAGUCAGUGCUCUUAACUGCUGAGCCACCUCUCCAGCCCUUAUCUUUAAUUUCUAAUAACUAAUGAUAUUGCAUAUAUUUCCCCUUACCAUUCCUCUCUUGUGUGGCAAAUGUUUGUUCAAAGCCAUUGUACAAUUUUUACUGCUGGUAGUAGCUUUCUUAUUUUUGAGGGCUUUGCUUUAUUUUAGUAGUUUUUUUUUUAAUGUAGCAAGAUAACAUAAUAUCACCAUUUUAGCCAUUUACCUAAGCAAGCCUCAAACUUGCCAUGCUGGUCUUGAACUCAUAAUCUUCCUGCCCCCAGCCUAAGCGCUGGGCUAUAGGGACAUGCCAUCAUUGGCGCUGUUUUGUUUGUACAUUUGCUUUUUCUUAAAAAAGAUUUAUUUAUUUAUUUAUUAUCUGUAAGUACACUGUAGCUGUCUUCAGACACCCCAGAAAUGGACAUCAGGUCCCAUUAUAGAUGGUUGUGAGCCACCAUGUGGUUGCUGGGAUUUGAACUCCGGACCUUCAGAAGAGCAGUCAGUGCUCUUAAUCUCUGAGCCAUCUCUCCAGCCCCCAGGAGAGUCUUCUUGAACUCAAAAUUCAAAUUGCCCUAAAAUGUAAAGAUCCCAAAUCUUACAUAAAUAGCCUUAGGUUUAAAUCUUUCAAAGUUAAUGUGAAUUAAGUAGGAUUUGCUUGUGGUUUAGUUUUGUGCCUGCCCUUGGUCUGACGUAAAGGAGCAGACAAGGGAAGAAGUUAGGGGAGGCUCAAGAGCCCUGCCUUCUGUUCAAGGCUCAUGUUACACAGUAUUCCAAGUUUCUAGUGCAUAUUAGUAGUGAGAGGUUCUCGCAUCAGUGUGACAUCUACAACUGUGUCUGGGGCCUUGUCUUCUGUCUGUAGAGACCUGUGCUCGUGUACACUGCAGGCAUGUAUUAUGCCUCUCCCUAAUUAGACAGCAGGAGAAUACAGCCCCAAGCAUGGCAUAGGGUCCUGGGGGCUCCAGGAAAACACCAUUCUGUCAUAUCUUCAACUUGACUUUGUCAGAUAGCUCUUUACACAUUUCUUUCUAGGACUCCCAUUACGACUAAAAACUGAUAAAUGGACUUGCUGAUACUGGCAAAUGAUUAAAAAAUUUUUGAAGUUUAUGGAAUAUUAAUCAUGCUACUGAACUCCCUUACAGUUGACAGUAUCAAACUAUUGUAAAACAGCACAAUUCAAUACUCAAAUUACAAAUUUGAAUUCCCACAUCUUACUUUUAGCUAGGCUAACUCUAAAUUUUUUCACUUUAGAGCCGAGCAAUGGUGGCACACGCCUUUAGUCCCAGCACUUGGGAGGCAGAGACAGGCAGAUUUCUGAGUUCGAGGCCAGCCUACAACUGAGUGAGUUCCAGGACAGCCAGGGCUACACUGAGAAACCUGUCUUGAAAAAAAUUAAUUAAUUAAUUAAUUAAAAUUUUUUUUCACUUUAAAAGAGAGUGCUUUUUCUACUUCCAAAAAAAUUUUGCCCAAGGGAGACACUACCUAGAGUAUAUAUUUAAAACAAAAACAAAACCAAAAACCC